rnacentral:lncRNA from 1 species
AUACACAGCACAGAAGCCAGAAGUUUUAUGAGUCGGUCUACCUAGCUUCACCCUUCACACAGAGGGCUUCACAGUACAGUACAUUAGCACCUGAUGAUUGAUUGAGAUGAUGGACAUAGCUCAUGGUAAAAUAAUCUACAUGGUGAUUUUCAAAGGUUAACCUAUAGCCUACAGGUGGAGACGUGUAAGGACUAAUUGCUCAUGGGAUCGCUACAUAUCUCAUUACCUGUAUCAUAGCCCUGAGAAAUACCUCUGGAACUAAAGCAGUCCCCAGACUAGUUGUCAAGAUCAUAGGCAGCAAACAGGUCAAGUAUUUCAUCACAGAAGAGACAGACAAGGUGAAUGGAGCAGCUAUUCCUCUGGCGGUUGUGGGUAAUGUGAUGAAGGAACCACCAGACAAACAGGACUCUAUAGUGGCCAGAUCACACAGACAAGCUGAGGCUGAGGGGGGUGUGGGGUCAGCUUUUCAGGCUACGCUCCACAAGGCCCCAAACAGACUGUGUGUGACAGCUCCCUCUGGUGACCGUUCCCUGUCCUACAUCCAUCAGAAGAACCCAGCUGUCAUAAGAACUGAACUCAGAGUAGGAACAGCAGCAAGGGCAUCUGAGGAGGAGAAGGCAGUUAACCCACUGUUCCCCGGGCACCGAAGACGUGGAUGUCGAAGAACAGGAAGACUGUCUCUCAUUGGCCAUCAGUGAGCAGCUGGCUGACUGGCAGGCUUCUUCACCCCUGAGGACCAUUCAGGAGGAAGUUGUUGCAAUUGAACCUGCCCUCAAAGGGACCAUCAGCCAAUCACAGAUCACUCAGGCGUUUCUGAGACACGAGGUUCCACUGGGAUUAACAACGUUCCGUCAGCUCCUCCUAAUGUUCUGUGAUGCUGACCAUCCAGCUCAGGCAGAGUUUGGGCAUGUGUCUCACACGAGGAGUCCCCAGGGGUUGCACUGAGCCCCCACCAGCUUCUGUGGAUCCCAUGGAAACAGAAAGAUGGCUCCAAGGGUUCCAGAGAAUGGAGAGAGCCAUGCACAUAUGUGACAGCCAGAACACUGGUUACAUAGACCAGGACAAAGCCAGACGUCUGAUUCAGAACUACAACCACAUGUUCAACCUGAACCUGAGUCCCCUGGGGAUCAGUGAGGUCACCCAUGGUCAUGGAGGGAGAAGACAGGGCAAUGUCCACCUGGACACAGCCCUACAGUACCUAAAGGAACUGUGAUGAAGGUGUUUGAGUGAGCAGAGACAGACCCUCCUUCAACCCUGUCCACACCUAAAUAGAAGAGGCUAUUUCAGCCACUCAUGGAGGACAAAGCUGAUUUUAAAAUAAAUAUUUGUUUUGAAAAACCAAUUUGUUUCAGCAUGUAGCCUUCAUCUGGAUUUUAUAGACAGAAGAGGUCAUUUGGGACAUACUGUAGAACAAAAGGGGCUUUUCGUCAACACCUCCUAUGGCUCUCCCCCAGUCAGGCUCCACAGCAGGUCAGGGGCUACCAGGACAGUCAGUAUAGCCAGGGCUAACAGCCACAGCAUCAGUCUCACCAGAUUCAGCACACACCACUGGGCCCACCGACGCAUUGUAUCUGGAUAGAAUAGGUCCUAAGGGUGGUCAAUAUAGUGGCAUCAAUACAAUGAUCCUAUUGAAUUAUUCUGAUUCUAUGUGGAAUUCUCUGUGCAUCAAUGUCAGUAUAAUUUGGAGUGAAAACAGAGAAAAUGAAGGUGUUAUGAUUAGUGUCUUAUCUUUUGUCCACUCACCUUGCAAUCUUGACAUAAAACUGUGCCUGAUGUUUAUGUUGUUGUGAUUUUCCAAACAUUGUGCUCUAGAAUUCAGAGGUGAUUUAGAACAGGUCAGCGGCACUUCCAGUUAUGAGAUGGGAAAAUAACAAUUAUGAAAGCUGUACAAUUUGUAUGGAUUAACGCAAAGACAUUUAAAACCUAGGCUAGCCGACUGCUUGAAAUCAUACUAUCUUUCGGGGAAGGUGUAUUGCUGUUAAGAAUGUCAAUAAACCACUCCCAUGAAGCGAUGGACAACAAGGAUGCAUUUGAUUGUUUCAUUUCUGUGAAACCGAAAGUAAAAUAUCGACUUGAGGAGAGCAACUGAAAAACUGUUUGGUAAGUUUUAUUCUACAAUUACGUUAAGUAUUCGUACCUGUUGUAUCUUGUUUUAUAUGUUGCAGCUUUUAAAUAUUUAGUUAUAACUUUAAUAAAUAGCAAACGAAGAAUGAGCCAGUGCUCGAGAGCCUAUGCCUGUAAAGUUGUCUGCCUAGUGACGACAGGUAGCUCAGUAAACACCUGAGUUUUGAACUUCAUUGAACAUAACCUCAUUAUUGUACUACAGUAGCCGUAAAUGCCUGAGGUUUGAACAUCAUUGAACAUAACUACGGUGUUGUACUACAACAGAUAUUCAUUGUUGAAGUAUCCAGCAGCAAAGACAGAUGAUGGGGAAAGAGAACCAACAUAGACCAUUAACCAUGAGCUAUAGAGACGCCCUUCAAACGCAAUCUAACACAGUAAGGACUUCUGCUAGACCAGCAGCCUCUACUACUGCCCAGAAUAGUUACCUGACUAGACUGAGGAGCAGCCUGCAUGACCUGAUGAACCAGCACCCAGAGGGAGUACCCCUUUCCCGUAUGAGUCAGGCCUGCUCUCUCCUCCUGCACCCGGAGGUACUUAAGCCCUACCCCUCCACCAGGUACCUCUUGGCCUCCCUCCCCGAUGUGGUGAGGCUUCAGGGGAUCGGGGUACAGACACUGGUGCUCCCAGCACUAGGCCAUUGUGGAGGUGGGACGGAUGCCGGUCGUGUUGGUUGUCGCUAGCCUUCUUGACCUAUGCCAAGCAGGGACCAGGCCGUCCGCAAAGAGACCGAUUUCAAGAUUCCAAUCAAAGUCAAGCCAACGGAAGAACCUCAAAUGUACACGGCCCAUAACGAUAUCAGGGAAAAGCAUUAGGGAAGUCUACAUACAAGACAAUGGCACAUCCUACAAGACGGGAUACACACAAUCAACACAUUCUUACCAUGAAAGUACACGCCUGUGAAUUACAGAUUGAUGAUUUUUUACAUUUUUAGACUGUGGAAAUACAAUUCAUUCAAUGAUUUUAUAUACAUAUAUAUAUACAUACACACACACAUACAUAUACACACACACACACAGAUAUAUAUAUAUACAUAUAUAUACACACACACAUACACAUAUAUAUAGUAUACACACACAGAUAUAUAUAUACAUAUAGAUAUACAUACAUAUACAUAUAUAGAUAUACAUAUAUAUACAUAUAUAUACACACACACACAUAUAUAUAUAUAUAUAUAUAUAUACACACACAUAUAUAUAUACACACAUAUAUGAUACAGCAUGGCAAACAAGAUUUCACUUUAAAGUGUACAUGUUUGAACAUAGACACUUUGUACCCAAUUUUAUUCAUGUUUGACAGAUUUUAGACAAGUAAACCUAGAACAAUACAUAAAUCAAUCAUUGUUGUACAGCGUCAAUUGGAUUAUAUUUAUCUUAGGUAAUUACUUUAUUUUGAUAGAGUGAUAAGCUACAUACUUUACCAUAUCAUACAGUUUUCUAAACAUUUGAAUAAAACAUUCUGAAAGACAUGGAACGUGCUUUUUUUCGCCUCAAACUGAACAGGCAAGGUCUAUUCUGUCAUGUUAAGUUCUUGGUAAAAGCUUAGCGUGCACAAGGUCACAUCCAUUCAACAGCACUGUACAAUAACACACCCACUACCUCUCCAACACUCUAGUCAUCUUACUUUCCCACACAACCUUUAACAUACAGUACAUUAAAGUCAAAAUAAACCAAAAACAUUGAAUGACACUGAGGGGCAACGUUGUUACAUUUAAUGCCCGUACACAUGCAUACACACACACUCAUUCACACGUAACUAGUGCCAUACAUGCACUCAAAAGUAUUCAGUUGUCCUUGAUUUCUUGCAUAUUUUCCUUUGUUUUUCACUUUAGUUCAUUGUUGCUACAUUGGGGGACGGGGAAUGGAAUCAUUUUAUUAUGAUUUUUUAUUUUUUUCAGGGGUGGUGGGUCUCGGAUGAUUGAGGGGCAGCUCUUGGGAACUUUGGGGGGGGGGAUCUUGGAGGGCUGGUGGCCUGGCGGUUGAGAACUUGGGCCGGUGGCUGAUAGGUUCCUGGGUCGGGUCCCUGUUUCUGACCAUGUGGGAGAUCUGUCGGCAUGCCCUUGGGCAGGACGUUGACCCUGGUUGCUUCUGUGGGUCCCUCUGGAUGGGAGUCUGUUAGAUGACAAUGGAUUUUUGUUGAGCGGCUGUACUGCAGGUAGAUUGUAUGUUUAAUAUUCAG